CCUACGGGGGGCAGCAGUGGGGAAUAUUGGACAAUGGGGGCAACCCUGAUCCAGCCAUGCCGCGUGUGUGAAGAAGGCCCUCGGGUUGUAAAGCACUUUCAGUGAGGAAGAACGCCUGGUGGUUAAUACCCAUCAGGAAAGACAUCACUCACAGAAGAAGCACCGGCUAACUCCGUGCCAGCAGCCGCGGUAAUACGGAGGGUGCGAGCGUUAAUCGGAAUUACUGGGCGUAAAGCGCGCGUAGGUGGCUUGAUAAGCCGGUUGUGAAAGCCCCGGGCUCAACCUGGGAACGGCAUCCGGAACUGUCAAGCUAGAGUGCAGGAGAGGAAGGUAGAAUUCCCGGUGUAGCGGUGAAAGGCGUAGAGAUCGGGAGGAAUACCAGUGGCGAAGGCGGCCUUCUGGACUGACACUGACACUGAGGUGCGAAAGCGUGGGUAGCAAACAGGAUUAGAUACCCGAGUAGUC
rnacentral:rRNA from 1 species